CGCGGGGGUCUCAGCUCUGUGGGGGGGACACAUCAGCACAGUGUGGGAGUGGGGAACGUCACCAGAGAUGGGUGAUGGAGGGAUGGACAGCGGGGACAGACGGACAGCAAAGCGGCUGUGGAAGCAAUCCCUGAGCCCAAAGCAGCGCCCUCCAGCAAUGGGGUAUGGGGUAAUCGUUCCAUCCCCACAUCCCCGUGCAAUGGGAGCACAGCACUAUGGGGUCCCCCACAUACACAUGCAAUGGGAGCACAGCACCGUGGGGUCCCAAUGCAAAAGGAACUCAUCACCAUGGGGUCCCAAUGCAAUGGGAGCACAGCACUGUGGGGUCCCAAUGCAAUGGGAGCACAGCACCGUGGGGUCCCCACACCCCCAUGCAAAUGGGAGCGCAGCACUGUGGGGUCCCAAUGCAAAAGGAGCUCAGCACCGUGGGGUCCCCACACCCCCAUGCAAUGAGAGCUCAGUGCCCACAGCCUCACACCCAAGGAUGGGAUUGGGGAUGCGCGUGGUGCUGAGCAAGGAGAGCAACGCUGGAGCUGCACGGAUCGCCGCUUCGGGGCCGGAGAAUGAAAGCAAAUUGCAAAGCAGCAUUAAAGAACCACCCUGCAGCCUUCUCCUCCGUGCCCAGGAGCUGAGAGCCUCCUGUCCUAUUAAUAUCAGCCAGCUCAGGAAGAGGAGAGGGAACAUCUUUAUCUCUUCCAUCCGCUGAUACCUCGUCCUCUCUCUCUUUUAUGGCUGCAAUUCCCCUUUGUUCAGCCCCACGUGCUGCGCGGCGGGGAGAGCUGCUGGAGCAUCUCGAAAUAUAAUUAGAAAGCUAAAUAUGACACCGCUGUUCCACUCGGAGACCCAACCCCAUAAAACACCCAGGCUGUGAUGUGGAAAACGGUGCCAUCCGUGCAUCCGCCGCCGCCCCGACGGCUGAGCUCCGUGAUUGCUUAAAGAUUACCCACCAGUUUUCAAUUACCUCCCAUUAAUGUAUUUACCCGGCGUAUCUUUUAUCAAGCUGCAAGUUGUUGUGUUGGUAUGAUAUUAUUUUUUCUUUGCAGGGAGAUGGGUUGGCUUCCCCUAAACGGCCCAUAUUUCAGCAUUAGAGCCGCUCGCUAUCAGCGUGGGCUGAGUGAUGCUUUGCUGCUCCAUCUCCCGGUGUUUAAUUCUGCUGGAGCUUCGGCUGCUCCUUAGGGGUGGUCACCGAGGUGUGCUGUGAAGGCCAGGGGGGCUCAGGGGGCGGCUUCCAAUGGAGCUGAGGCAGCGGAGUGGGGUCCCCUCUUCAUCCUCCCUAUCCGCUUCCCUGCCUCAGUUUCCCCUUCGGAUCACAGCUGUGCCUCAGUUUCCCCUCAGGUUCCUCCCUGCACACAAACCACAGCCUUCCCCCACCUCACAUCUUCCUGCGGAGACCCCAACGCUUCCCCCAGCGCCCACCCAGCCCUCAAAUCCCCCCCUGGCUCAGAGCGGAGGAUCCUGAGGUGGGAUUUUCCAUCACCCCCCACCCCGAGGCUCCGUGCUGAGUCCCUGCAGACGCUUUUGGGGCCAUUCACCCCAGAAUGAGGCUGAGGACCACAUGUCGUUGGCAACGACACGUGGAGCCGCGGGGGAAUGAGCUGCUGAGAGCCACGAUGGUUCUGGCAUGGAUUCAUCCCAAAAGAAUCCGAGCGGAGCGUGGAGCUGGGCCGGGGUUGGGGUUGUUUCCAUUUCUGAGCCAUUUUGCACCGCAUUGUGGUGUCAGUUUUGGGGUGAUUAUCAAAUAUAGAGGAGAAGGAGCGAGUCGGAGGCAGAACCAGGCAGCUCCACUCCUCUGCACCCACCCCAGCAGCACUGAGGACAUCCCCUCCAUUUGCUUUCCUUUUUUGGGGGGAUGUUUACUCAUAAACUGGAGAGAUUUUCCCUGUUUUCUCCCCCUUUUUAAACAAAUCAUUAUUAUUUUCAUUAUUAUUUUCAGAGCUUAAAUGGCUCAAUGCUCAGCCACUGGAGAACGGUGGCCGUUGGGCAGAGCCAUGUCCACAAUGCACGGCCUCCAUUGGGUGCAGUGAGACGCCAAGCCUUGUUUUAGUGGGCACAGUGGGGGGUUGGGGUUGGGUUGUUGGUGUUGGAGCUCUUUUCCAAGCUUAAGACUCCAUGAUUCUAUGAGUGAGCAUGGUGGGAACGGGUUGGGGUUGGACUGUUGGUCUUGGAGGUCAUUUCCAACCUUAAUGACUCCAUGAUUCGAUGAGUGAUCAUGGUGGGAAUGGGUUGGGGUUGUAAUGUUGGUCUUGGAGGUCUUUUCCAACCUCAUUGGGUUUCAGAAGAAGAAUGGAUCUGUCGGAUUUCAGCCUCCCUGACCCCCAUCCCCCCCUUCUAUAUAAAAAAACCCAAAUGCUGUCCCCAUAACUGCAAUCAGAGCGCUCUGCAGAGCUCCGGACACAAUUGCUGUGGUUGUUAUUAUCUUUAUUUAAGGCCCACGGAGGCCCUGAGGGAAUAUCACCAUCCUGGUGCCAUAAGAUCUAGAAACGGUGCCGCUGUUUACUGUGCCGUCGCGUUGGCUCCUCAGCCCUUCGAAACCGUAACCUUCCUUUUUAUGGCAACAAUUAUGCUAACGAUAACAUCAUUAAACCGCAUGGGAAUGACCCUUAAAUCAAAAGGGGAAGCUUCCCCUUCCUGAGAACGGUGGCCCAUUGGAGACCUCGGGUGGAAGGAAUCACCGCCCCCCAACCACAGCGAGUUCGGUGGAUAUAUCUCUCUAUAUAUUUUAAGAAGAUUAUUUAUGGUUUAUUUUAGACGCCGGAUCAUUUGGCUCUUGUUUCAUCAAUUUGUCACUGUUUUUAUUGUCACCAAUUGCCCAUAACUGGAGUGCGUUUAAAAUGUCAUUGAUCUUGAUAUUAUGGUGUCAUAAUAUGACAGUAAUAGUUGUAUCUUGUACAGAAAGCCCACUUCCUAAGAUUGAUGGCUUUCACCGCACCAAUUAUAUUCUGUCCAUCUCGGUGAUAAAGAGAGCGUUGGAGGCAUUCAAUAGAUAAAUUAGAUAUCUUUUCAAUUAUUCCCUUUAUUUUAUAGGGUCACGUGCCUGAUUAACAACUUUUUACUUCUGUUAUUAAGCCGGCGGGUUCUCAAUGCUCGCUCCAUGUCUUUUAAUUCUCGUGGAUAUAAUGGAAGACGUUGAGGGCUUUGUGCUCUGUGAUCCUCUCCUAUCUUUUGUGCAGUACGAAUCUCACUCUUCCUGGCAGCCCAUGGGUGCUGCAGUCCCUUUUUUUCCUCCAGGAUUCCAUAAAAGAAUCCCUUCCUUUGGCUGGAAGGCGCCCUGAACUGUGAGCUCAGCCCCAUCCGGACGUGUUUCUCACCCAGGCUUUGCUCCGUGGCGCUGUGGAUGGUUGGGGGGAGAGCUCUGAGAUACAGAGUGUCCCAUGUCAGGGUAUUUCUGGAGCUGAAGGAGUGGGUGGAUGGGGAAGGUGGUGGCCUCGGGCAGGAUGUGGCCUCUUCUCUCUGUGUUCCAGGUUGGGGACGUCGGCACCGGUUGCUGUGACUGAGUGUCCCCAUCCCCACACGAGGAUGUCCCAGUAUAUCCCAGAGGUGCUCCCAUGGUGCAAGCCUGGAGGACCUCUGUUGGCCAAGACUGGGUUCCAUGUCCACAUGAAGAUUCCCCAUUACACCCCAGAGGUGUUCCCAUGGCAUCACAUGAGCCUGGAGGACCACUGUUGGCCAAGCCCAGCUUCCAUGUCCGUAGGAGGAUCUCCCACUGCACCCUACAGAUGUUCUUAUGGCACUGGGAGAGCCUGGAGGACCACUGUGGGCCAAAGCCAGGUUCCACGUCCACAUGAGGAUGUCCCAAAACAUCUUAGAGGCAUUCCCAUUGAGCCAUGUGAGCCUUGAGAAACCCCUGUUGGCCAAGGCCAGGUUCCACGUCCACAUGAGGAUGUCCCAGCACACCCUUGAGGUGCUCCCAUGGCAUCGUGUGAGCCCUGAGGGCCACUUUUGGCUCUGAGAUGGUCGCAGCGUGGUGAGAUGGCUCUGGGCUGGUUGAGUUUUGUUGGCUUUGUGGGACCCCAAGCAUCCACUUCAGGGGGACCUCGUCUUCUACUCAGCCAAAUGACUCCGGGUGCUGCAGGGCGAUGGCAAACGCAAGGAGACAUUCAACCACGGGCUGCCCUGACCCCAUUCCUGCUCCCCACGGGGGUGGGGACAAAAGAUUUGUGAUUUGUAACCCAUCAGGUCCCCAAAAAGCACUUUUCUGUCUCCCUCCGAGCUCCACACCGGAGACGCCGGGCUGCCCCUACCCCAAUUCCCUCCCACCGCAGACGUCGAUCCGCGCAGGCGAAUGGAAACACGGCGCUGGCGAGAGGCUCCCCUGCAGAGCAGUUCCUCAUCCCGACCUGCAACGCACACAAAGAGCAAUUCAGGUGGAGUUACCCCGAGGAGAUUUAUGGCGUCCAGGGAGGCGCACGCGAUCCGAUACCAAAGCAUGAAUCAAAGCAGGACAGCCGGGAUGUAUUUACAUCUGCGCCGCGCGCGCGCGCCGACGUCGCAAGGAGAACACAAAGUCAGUUGGCAAUGGAUGACUGCUGCGGGCUCUGGGGGUGGUGGGGGCACCUCUGAGCUUCGUGGGUGUAAAAGGGAAUGGGAAGGAUGAUGGUAAUCGAUGGGGUUGCGCUGCAUGGCUUCCCAAGGCCGAGCCAAGGGAUGUAUGUGUGAGGAAAUGGCGGGGGUUUCAUGGCUGGGGGGUAUAUCUGAGAGGAAAGCCCUUGGGUUUCAUGGCUGGGGAUGUAUUUGAGAGGAAAGCCCUUGGGUUUCAUGGCUGGGGGCAUGUUUUAGAAGAAAGCCCUUGGGUUUAGCAGUGGCUGUGGAUGGUGAAGCAUCCAUGCGUCCUCACAUCGGUUGGGUUGCGUGGGCACUCCGGUCCAACUCUGUUAUCCAACAUUUCAACCCAUACAAAGCCCAGUGGUGUCACCACGUGGUGCAGCACCAACCCCACUACCUGGGGUGGUGAUUUUGGGCCCCUUCUGCCAGGAAAUGGCUCACGCCGUGUGAAAACACCCAACCCAGAGCUGUGACAUGGUGUGGGACCUUUUGGUUCACCAUUGGGGCUUUCCGGAAAGACUCAUUCCAUGAUGGAUGAACUUUUAAUGGAGAGAAAUAGACAGCCCUGCUUUAAGUGCGGGGUUUAAGUGAAGCCAAUGAUUUAAACAACUUAAAGUCCAUUAAACAAAGGGAGAACUUGGAUCUCAUCAACUCAUUCAUUCUGAGAAGCGCCCGGCCUGGGAUAAACCUGACACUGAGGAGUCAUCUGAGCAUUGCUAAAACAUACGCUUGCCUUCGUAAUGAAAUGUUUUUAAGGGACCAUAAUGGUUACCGUGAGGGCGGUUUGCGUUAGAACCAUUUGAAUUCCCUCAGCUGAGAUCCUUCAAUAGGUGCCCAUCCACUAAUGGAAAGGAGACAUUUCGGAGACGUGAAGGAGUUGGAGACAUUUCGGCCCUAUUUGGAAGAGGUGGAAAUGGAUGGAAGCCAAACGUGCCAUAAGACGAAGUGUGCUGAUGGGAAGCGGAGCCCAUCGCCUCCAUCACUGACAAACAGGGAGAGGUGGGGUUGGUGGUCGCUGGUUUUCCACUCGCAGUGGUCCAUCAGGGUUACGGAUGCUCUGUGGGUAACAGAAAAUGGUCAUAAUACCCCCCCAGGUUCAGUGCUUUGGGGUUUCUCAGCAUGUUACCAGCGGGCACCAAUCAGGGUGGGGAGGACGAGAGCCUCAUUUCUCCCCAAGCAGAUAAAAUUUCUCCUCUUCCCAUCCACACAAACCCCAGCCAUAAAUCCUCAGGCUCGAGCAAAUGCAGGGCAGAAGUUUAAAGCAAACCUUACGAUUUUAAUGCCCGGGCUCAACGAAGCAUGGAAACAUUUGCUCAGCAUUAAGUGUGUGCUUAGCACCCCGCAGGAGCCCAGAGCUGCACACAGCAGUGCAGGAACUCCCUUCUUCCUCCCCAAUUCAUCCCCUGUAGGAGCAGAGCACGGAGGCAGCGAGCCAAGCGUCCGGCCAACGCUGCAGCAAGAUUUAUGGGAGGGGAAGGGACCCGCUUUCUUCCCUGUGAUUAAUAAGGAGAAGACAAGAAACCUCCUCAGAGCCCCAAUGGAGGCAUUUCCCUGGUUUGAUGGGGUCAACGAGAGCCGAAUUCCAGCCGAUGUAGAUAUAAUUUCAUCGGGGGGUUGGAGGGUCCCUUCCAUCCCUCCCACUGCUGCAAGAAGAGAACUGGAAGCGUCUCCUCCCUCCGUGCUGCUCCAGGGCUCGGUGACCCUGCAGCGAUGUUCGGUCCUGGCAGCGGCGUGGCAACGUUCCUGGGAGGAAAACAGAGGAAAUGGGGGUCUGGUGAGGAGGAGCCCCAGUGGGAAUGGUGGGGAGGGAGGAACUGUGCUGCGCAGCCCGUGCUUUGUGCAUGACGGCACUGGGGGCAGGGAUUUGCAGUGGGGUCAGGUUCCCAGCACGGGCUGCUUCCCAGGGCCUCGCUCUGCAUGGGGAGACGGAGGGGAACACUGAAUGCAUUCCUACAAACGCCUCCAAACUCCUCUCCCAUCCUGACCAGCUCUGCAAAACCCCACCCUGGGAUGCAAGGAUCCAAAAGCCAUCGGGACGUCGCAUUUACCGACGCCAUUCAUCUACACCCAUCCCCAGGACGGGCUGCAGGAGCCGCGCUGGUGGUCCCAGCCAUUAGCAGAGCCCUGAGGAUGAGCUCCCAGCCCUCUCCCCCAGCCCUGUCCUUGCACAUCAUCCGCCCUCACAUCACUGUUGGAUGUGGCACCGGAGCCCUCGGCGCGGGCCACAACUCAGGUUGGCAGCUGAGCAUCCUGGAGCGGGCCGAGCGCGGCCGGGAGCUGUAAUUCUUACCCUGCAUUCCCUGCCAGCUCUGCUCCCCGGUGGCACAUAGAUCACCCAGAGGUGUGGAUGGAGAGCAGGCGAUGUAAAUCACAUUAAACUCCACGCGUGGAGCUGCUCGUUCCGAACGCAGCCAGCCUUAAUUCGGUUUAGCUUUGCGAAUUAAGCUCAAGUGAAUUAAACCAACUCUAAUUCUGGCUAAGUGUCCAGAAUGGGGUUUUAUGUGCUCUGGCUAAUCCAUUUUAAAGGUUGAUUUGGGUUAACGUGAUGGAUGUCCCUUUGUGGGUACCUCUCGGUGCCGCCAGGCUCGCCUGGCCAGGAUUUAUGGUACGGCAGCAACCAGAGCCAUCCACCCCAUGACCUGCGCCAGCACCACGAGCUCCCUCAUUUCCCAGGGAGUGCUACAGAUGAGCUUCAACUGCUUUCCCAAAGGGCAGCGUCUGUUCAUUUUUUCUAGCAGACCAGUGUUGGGUUGAGUCCCGUGUUCCAUUCCAGUAUUGAAGGCAGCAUCCAUCCGAUCUUGCCAACCAAUACGCAUCGGGUUGAGUCAAACUGUUCCAUUGCGUUGUCGAAGGGCAGCAUCCAUCUGACCUUGCCAACCAGCCGGCAUUGGGUUGAGUCCCACUUUCCACUCCAGUAUCAAAGGGCAGAACCCAUCUGGUCUUGCCAGCCAAUCAGCAUUGGGUUGAGUCCCACUUUCCAUUCCAGUAUAGAAGGACGACGUCCCUUCUGGCUUUGCCAACCAAUUGGGUUGAGUCAAACUGCUCCAUUCCACCGUCACAGGGCAGCAGCCCUCCAGCUCUGCCAACAAACCACCCUUGGGUUGAGUCCAAUGAUCCAUUCCAAGAGAGGAGACACAUUUGGGGCACUGCUCUGAAGGUUCCUCUCUCCUCAGUGGGGGAUUCAUGGGGGGUUUGCAAUUAGCACCACAGCGUAGACCCGAAGGUGCUGAUUUCUCUCUUCAUUGAGUGCAGAGAAUUUGGGGCACGGAGCUCCUUAUUUAGGCACGUCUCCUGAAUGACCAACGCUGUGCAGAUGGAAAGUGCACACAGCUAAUGAGUGCCAUUACGUCUCACCCCUCUGGUUCAAAAUGAGGACAGGACCAUCAUCACCUCCCAGCCUUCGCAAUGCUGCUCGUGUAAAGGGGGGUCGAGAGGAGGGCCCAAUGCAUCCCACACCAAGAGCAUCGCCACGUGGGAUCACGCAGCAGCCGGACCCCAAACGUCCCCUCUUCCCAAAAUCAGCCUGGAUGCGUUUCUGAGAAGAGCGCGGUCCCCUUGACUUUGUCCUUACAACAUCGGCAGUGAAUCCUGCAGCCUCCACCCUCGCUCCUCUCGCAGAGCAGCCAAUUGGCAGCGGAUCAAUGCAGGAGAGAGUCAGCAGGAGGGCAGCGAGAUGAAUUAUUUCCCUCUGGGAGGCGGAGGGCAGAGCCCAGAGCUGCCCCACAGCCCGCAGGCAGGGCGCUUAUAGGGCGAGCAUCGGGAUGGAAGCAGCGUGGCAGGAUGUGUUUCGCUGCGUCCCCCCGCACCCCACGCGUGGCCGUAAGGGCGAUUAGCUCGGUUAAUUUAGCCCCGGGUUGAGGGUGGAAGACAACGUGGAGGCUCCCCGCCCAUCUGCAAAGGGCUUUGGGUCGGGAACCACAUCUACAGGGGAACGCUCGUGCAGGGAAAUGUGAAUUAGCAGAGGCUUUGAGUCGAGAGUGCAUUAAUUUAAAGUGCGCUGGAAGCGCAUGCAAAAUGCAUGCAAAGUGCACUCUGCUCGGAACGAAAGCACUCCUCGGUCAAUGGGAAGUGAUUUACUGCCUCUCCCUCGGCGGUCGGGGCAGAAUCCAUCUCUCCUUCCCGCAGGUUGCUGAGCCGAACCGGGUCGGGAAGAGCAUCGCCCUCCGAGGGAGCGACUCCCCGCACAUCCCCGGCUUACGGGACGCAGCGCCGCGCUUCCCGGCUGCGGGGGGAGGACGGGCAGGGAGAGGUGCUGAGAGACGGCAGGGAUGGGAGGAGAAGGGAAAGGUGCGCUCGGAUUUAAACGCACGGCGUCCCGCGGCCCGGCGCAGCCUUCGUUUGCAGAGAGGGCCGACGGCCGUGCGGGCGCUGCAGAGCUCCGGCGGCGCUGCAAAGUAGAGGUGCGGUGUUGAAAGGAGCUGAGUGCCGCCAGUUGGGCUUAAAGCCCGAAGAGCUGAGCUUGCAAUGGUGUCCCUCCUGAAAUAGGUGGGUUGGAGAGUGCCAAAAGGCCGUCAAAAGCCCCCUGGUUUGGGGCUUGCGUCGCGUCGGGUGGCACCGCCUGUUUCUCCGCCACGAGGGAAAUGCCCAUAGGGGGUAUUUGGGCCUUUUUGGUGAUGAAAGCCAAUGGGUGUGAGCAGCAGCAGCAAAUCCCUGCUGUGAGGGAG
ensembl:lncRNA